UUGGUUAAUUUGACUCGGGUUAUAACAUAAAACCACCCUCAUUUCAGAUUUCAAAAGUCAAAAAAUCACCAAAUUUAAAACCUAAAUCCCUAGCCAUCCGACGCUUUCAUUUUCCCCGAUUCCUCGUCGUCCGGCCGCCUUGGAGUACACCUCUGCCACCACUAAGACUGCCGCCUAGCGCCGACCGAAACCCCUCUUGUUCCUCAUUGAGAUUCAUCUUCGUUCGCCCUAAAUCGAUGUUAAACCAUUCGAUGAGAACCCUAUAAACCGCCAUUGAAAUUCGUCGACUUUGGCCGAUCUAGUCGGCGUUGCUACUUACCGCCCUCACCGUUGUAUCCCUCGUGAAAAUUCAAACAAAACCCAGGUUGUUUUGUCGGCUCUCCAUCGUUGCUCCAUCGACCAUCGUGGGUACUUGGGAAUCUCCCGACCGUUCGACAGUUUGACCCAGCUUCUCUCGAUCCAUUCGAUCCCAUGAGCUAGUGAUUACUCAUAUGAUCCGUGAACCUUAUGAAUACUUAGAUUAAAAUUUUACUUCAAUAGUAACUCUAUUUAUUAUGAUUUAGGUUUUAGCACUGCUGUAGAGUGUGGCGAGACAGGUGCUCAAUAGACUCCUUGAGUUAUCCCAUUUUACGAGGUACUUUUAGAUAGGCAACCCUGACUUGACAUUUGGAGAAUUG